AUCUUCUUAGUUUACUAAAAACAAGUGACUUCCAAUUACUAAAACUCAGUAAAACCCUGGGAGAAGAUA
rnacentral:tRNA from 1 species